rnacentral:rRNA from 1 species
CCUGAACGCUGGCGGCGUGGCUAAGACAUGCAAGUCGCACGGGCCUAGCAAUAGGUCAGUGGCGAACGGGUGAGUAAUGAAUCGCUAACGUGCCCCGGACUCUGGGAUAGCUGGCCGAAAGGCUAGGUAAUACCAGAUGACAUAACCCUUCCGCAUGGUGGGGUUCUCAAAGGUCCGCCGGUCUGGGAGCGGGCGAUUUCGUAUCAGCUAGUUGGUGCGGGUAACGGCCCACCAAGGCGACGACGCGUAGCCGGACUGAGAGGUUGGCCGGCCACAUUGGGACUGAGACACUGCCCAGACUCCUACGGGGGGCUNCAGUAACGAAUCUUCCGCAAUGCACGCAAGUGUGACGGAGCGACGCCGCGUGUGGGACGAACG